rnacentral:tRNA from 1 species
AGAUUCUCGUCUCUCUCCAGGAUCUCCUGAAAAACUGCCGUUAUCAAACAUUUA